UGGGGAAUUUUGGACAAGGGGCGAAAGCCUGAUCCAGCCAUGCCGCGUGAGUGAAGAAGGCCUUCGGGUUGUAAAGCUCUUUUAGUCGGAAAGAAAGAGUUGCAAUGAAUAAUUGUGAUUUAUGACGGUACCGACAGAAAAAGCACCGGCUAACUACGUGCCAGCAGCCGCGGUAAUACGUAGGGUGCGAGCGUUAAUCGGAAUUACUGGGCGUAAAGGGUGCGCAGGCGGUCUUGCAAGUCAGAUGUGAAAGCCCCGGGCUUAACCUGGGAAUUGCGUUUGAAACUACAAGGCUAGAGUGCAGCAGAGGGGAGUGGAAUUCCAUGUGUAGCAGUGAAAUGCGUAGAGAUGUGGAAGAACACCGAUGGCGAAGGCAGCUCCCUGGGUUGACACUGACGCUCAUGCACGAAAGCGUGGGGAGCAAACA
rnacentral:rRNA from 1 species